UUCGCGUUUUUAAUUCCAAUUUACGAAUAUAUACGGCGCGUUAUCUAUUUUUAUGUUUUUUUGUAGUAAAAACAAAAAGAAAAAUUAUGAUUUUGCACGAUAUUUACGCUAUAAAUGGCAUCACUGUUCGAAAUUCAAUUGGAUACUAGUGAUACAAGCAGCGAUCGGUUUCGAAAUAUCGAUACUCUCGAUAUUAGAGACUAAACAAGAAUUGAUAAAAAUGAGAGAAACAUAAUAGAAAAAUAAUAAUAGUUGGAAAAAUAAAAAUAAAUUAAAAUAUCGAUAUUCUCAAUAUUCGAGUCUGAACGAGAAUUGAAAGAAGAAGAAGUUGGACACAGAAGAAUUAUGAACGCCGGGGUGUUGGACCGACCAGGGUUAUUUUUUUUCGAGCGCUCGAAAUUGAAUGAAUUAUAAAUUUUUCUAUUAUGUAUUUCUCCUUUUAACCAAUUCUCGUUCAGACUCAAAUAUCGAGAGUAUCGAUAAUUCGAAAACGAUCAGUGCAUAAAUCAAUAGAUUCGAAUUUACAACAGCGAUGCCAUAAUUUCGAACAUAACCUUGCCAUUU